CGCUACUACCACCCCCACCACCCCAAAAGCGACGACCACUACGACUUGCGCACGCACAAGUAUAGAAACUGUCGCAUAGAUAUGAAGUUCACCGUGACUUGCCUCGUCUCCUCCGUCAACUCGUCUCUCCUGGCAGAGAGUGAGGCAGUGACGAAGGAAAUCACGGUGGCCAACCCGAGGGCGACUGUGCAGAACCUGCGCGCCACUGUCGCCAUCCAGUUUCGGCUCAAGGUUGUGGCCUUUGAGUUUCGCUUCGAUCGCCACGAGGGCGCCACCGAGAGCGACUCAGCGGCGCCAAGCUCAUCUCCAUCUGCGGCCUCCGCGGUGGUGGACUUUGGUGACGAAAAGAAGCUGCUGACGGAGUGCGGGUUGCAGGAAGGCGAUCACUUGACGGUGGUGCCGAAGAAUUACAGCUCGCUGAGCGCGGCCGGUGCGGCAGCGGUGACCGCGAGUGAGGCCUCGUCAUCCGAGGUCCCCGCAACGAAGCGUGUGCGUAUCGAGUCGAGGGGCGAGGUGGACGCCCCCGCCGUCAUUGCGAGCGAGGAUGAGGACGCCGAGGAGGAGGAGAGCGAACUGGACGAGGAGGACGACGCGGAUGACUCCGAAGAGGACGGCGACGCCAAGGGGCAGAAUGACUUGUUCGCUGCCUUGCGGGAAGUGGUUCCAGAUCUGACGGUGCUGCGGCAGGAGUUCCUGGCCAACCCGCAGGCCGUCAUGGAGCGGAUCGAGCGGAAUCACCCCUCCCUGUUCCAGGUGAUUGUGCAAAACCAGGAGACCUUUGUCACACUCAUGAACAAUGAGCAGCUCACCAAAGCCGCGCAGAGCAUGUUGCACGGCGGCACCAUGGGUGGCGAUGAGGACGAGGAUGAGGGGGGCUCGCUGGAGUGGUCCACGGGGGAGGAAGAUGAGGAGAUGGACGAGGAGACGGCGGAGCAGAUGAGUGCGCUGUUUCAGAGCUACAUCACCUCGGCGGCCCGCAGCGGCGACAGCGGCGAUUUUGACGCAGCCGACCUUGCUGAACUGGAGGCGAGCGGGAUGCACGUGGAAGAAGUGGGCGACGGCGACGGCAACGCCAGCGGCAGCGCACGCAUUGGCAAGGCGAAGCGGCAGUCAGACAAGGAAUUCAUCCUGUCCCGGGUCCCUUCUGAGGAGGAUGAGAAAAAGAUCCAGGCUCUGACGGAGUUGGGCUUCACCUACGAACAGUGCAAGGUUGCCUUCUACCUGUGUCACCGCAGCAUCGACCGUGCAUCGAACAUGCUCUUCGAAGCCCCACCAGAGAUUUGACAGCAAGGAAUUCACGUGCACCAAGGAUCGGUGGCCACCCCCUGUGACUUCAGUGUCUCUAUCACAGGCUGUCACUCGAUCGCGCGCGUGCGUAACACACAUACACGACAUCACACAGGCACAGGAACGGGCACAGGCACAUGCGCAGAGAGCGAUGCGCCUUUCCUACCUCACGCUGCAUCAUCAGUGCAUUGACGCUUGGCGAGGCCGAGAGAGCUGGCGGUCAGAAGCGCGUGCUUCAAGAGACGGAAUGGCAACGCAGGGGCGUGCUCGAGGCGCGUUGUGGAGAGUGAUCCUGUGGUUACUCGUUGUUACACGUGCCUGACUGCCAGCUUGUACUUGCCCCCUAUUCCAUUUGUGUGAUGUCUACUACCGCUGUCUUUUUCCCUCUGUUCUAAGCACCUACCCCCUCCCCUCCUCCCUCCCUCCCUCCCUCCCUCGUGCCACUGUACACAUCCACGCCAUGUCUGCAGCCAUCGCUGGCAACGCGUAUUGGCGUGUAUGUGUUUGCAUGUGUGCGUGUGUGUUUCGGUAUGGCGCGUAUGAAGGGGAGAGCAUUGUGGGGGGGUGAGUGAGGAAGAACAGGGGGUGGAGGCAGUGGUGCAUAAUCGCGUGGGCGCUGGCUGCGUACAGCUCAGGAAGGAAGAGUACGCGCGCGUGCUUUUCUCUACGCUUAAGCGUGUACGCGUAUGCGCGUCUCACUGUCUGUGCUUGAUUCUAUGCUUCGAAGGGGGGAGAGUUGCGAAGGGUGGUCACGCAUCGCUAGGCUCGCCGUUGCUUCCAUCACCAUCUUCAUCUGGCCUCACUCGCGGAACGCUCCUUGCGCUGCAGCAGGGUCACAACUCCGUUACACCGCUGCACGCGGUAGUCUCUUUCUGUCUUCGAGGUGCUGCGAUGAAAAGCGCCAUGGCGCGCGCAUGUGUGCGCCUUGGUGCUUGGGUUCGAAGGCGAGGGGAAGGUUUGGGGAAUGCGCGGCACCCUCCCGUUCCCUCCUCAUACCAGAUAGUCUCCGCGUCUUUCCUGCGGCCGACGGGCCUCACGUUCCCCUCUCGCCCUUUCCUCAUGCUUUCUGUUUCUCUCUACCUUCGUCAUCUUUUCUCUCGCGUGUGCCGGCCACGCACAUGCCUGCUAUGGCCGGGCAG
rnacentral:misc_RNA from 1 species